CAAGUUCAUGUCAAUAUCUUUCAGCCACCACUGAUUUCUGAAUUGGGCGUUCAUAUUUAGACAUUAUAGAGAGAACUAACCUUUAGGACAUUUCUUCGUUGGAGCAGAUCUGUGGGAAAUGGUGCGAACUGUUUUUGCUCUAUGUCUUUUUGCGUUAUGGACAGCGACACCAUU
rnacentral:sRNA from 1 species